CUAUCAACACAUAUACUUAAAAAAAUUAGAAUGAUACAGAGAAGAUUAGCAUGGCCCCUGCGCAAGAAUGACAUGCAAAUUCGUGAAGCGUUUAUAUGCAUC
ensembl:snRNA U6 U6 spliceosomal RNA